AGCCUAUUCGGGGUGGAUUAGUGGCGAACGGGUGAGUAACACGUGGGCAAUCUGCCCUUCACUCUGGGACAAGCCCUGGAAACGGGGUCUAAUACCGGAUAACACUCUGUCCCGCAUGGGACGGGGUUAAAAGCUCCGGCGGUGAAGGAUGAGCCCGCGGCCUAUCAGCUUGUUGGUGGGGGGGAAGUGGCCUACCAAGGCGAACGACGGGUAGCCGGCCUGAGAGGGCGACCGGCCACACUGGGACUGAGACACGGCCCAGACUCCUACGGGAGGCAGCAGUGGGGAAUAUUGCACAAUGGGCGAAAGCCUGAUGCAGCGACGCCGCGUGAGGGAUGACGGCCUUCGGGUUGUAAACCUCUUUCAGCAGGGAAGAAGCGAAAGUGACGGUACCUGCAGAAGAAGCGCCGGCUAACUACGUGCCAGCAGCCGCGGUAAUACGUAGGGCGCAAGCGUUGUCCGGAAUUAUUGGGCGUAAAGAGCUCGUAGGCGGCUUGUCACGUCGGAUGUGAAAGCCCGGGGCUUAACCCCGGGUCUGCAUUCGAUACGGGCUAGCUAGAGUGUGGUAGGGGAGAUCGGAAUUCCUGGUGUAGC
rnacentral:rRNA from 1 species